rnacentral:rRNA from 1 species
GAUGAACGCUGGCGGCGUGCCUAAUACAUGCAAGUCUAGCGAACAGACGAGGAGCUUGCUCCUUUGACGUUAGCGGCGGACGGGUGAGUAACACGUGGAUAACCUACCUAUAAGACUGGGAUAACUUCGGGAAACCGGAGCUAAUACCGGAUAACAUGUUGAACCGCAUGGUUCAACAGUGAAAGACGGUCUUGCUGUCACUUAUAGAUGGAUCCGCGCCGCAUUAGCUAGUUGGUAAGGUAACGGCUUACCAAGGCAACGAUGCGUAGCCGACCUGAGAGGGUGAUCGGCCACACUGGAACUGAGACACGGUCCAGACUCCUACGGGAGGCAGCAGUAGGGAAUCUUCCGCAAUGGGCGAAAGCCUGACGGAGCAACGCCGCGUGAGUGAAGAAGGUCUUCGGAUCGUAAAACUCUGUUAUUAGGGAAGAACAAAUGUGUAAGUAACUAUGCACGUCUUGACGGUACCUAAUCAGAAAGCCACGGCUAACUACGUG